CACGUAGGGCGCAAGCGUUGUCCGGAAUUAUUGGGCGUAAAGAGCUCGUAGGCGGACUGUUGCGUCCGCUGUGAAAAGCUGGGGCUUAACCCUGGCCUUGCAGUGGAUACGGGCAGACUAGAGGUAGGUAGGGGAGAAUGGAAUUCCCGGUGUAGCGGUGAAAUGCGCAGAUAUCGGGAGGAACACCGGUGGCGAAGGCGGUUCUCUGGGCCUUACCUGACGCUGAAGAGCGAAAGCGUGGGGAGCGAACAGG
rnacentral:rRNA from 1 species